rnacentral:rRNA from 1 species
AAUAGAUACCCCGGUAGUCCACGCCCUAAACGAUGUCUACUAGUUGUCGGGGGGUAACUCCUUCGGUAACGCAGCUAACGCGUGAAGUAGACCGCCUGGGGAGUACGGUCGCAAGAUUAAAACUCAAAGGAAUUGACGGGGACCCGCACAAGCGGUGGAUGAUGUGGAUUAAUUCGAUGCAACGCGAAAAACCUUACCUACCCUUGACAUGCCACUAACGAAGCAGAGAUGCAUUAGGUGCCCGAAAGGGAAAGUGGACACAGGUGCUGCAUGGCUGUCGUCAGCUCGUGUCGUGAGAUGUUGGGUUAAGUCCCGCAACGAGCGCAACCCUUGCCAAUAGUUGCUACGAAAGGGCACUCUAUUGGGACUGCCGGUGACAAACCGGAGGAAGGUGGGGAUGACGUCAAGUCCUCAUGGCCCUUAUGGGUAGGGCUUCACACGUCAUACAAUGGCUGGUACAGAGGGUUGCCAACCCGCGAGGGGGAGCCAAUCCCACAAAACCAGUCGUAGUCCGGAUUGCAGUCUGCAACUCGACUGCAUG